GACGAACGCUGGCGGCGUGCCUAAUACAUGCAAGUCGACCUUAGUGGCGGACGGGUGAGUAAUGUCUGGGAAACUGCCCGAUGGAGGGGGAUAACUACUGGAAACGGUAGCUAAUACCGCAUACUAUCAGAUGAGCCUAGGUCGGAUUAGCUAGUUGGUGGGGUAAAGGCCUACCAAGGCGACGAUCCGUAACUGGUCUGAGAGGAUGAUCAGUCACACUGGAACUGAGACACGGUCCAGACUCCUACGGGAGGCAGCAGUGGGGAAUAUUGGACAAUGGGCGAAAGCCUGAUCCAGCCAUGCCGCGUGUGUGAAGAAGGCCUUCGGGUUGUAAAGUACUUUCAGCGGGGAGGCGUUACCCGCAGAAGAAGCACCGGCUAACUCCGUGCCAGCAGCCGCGGUAAUAC
rnacentral:rRNA from 1 species